GCGCUGGUGGCGGAAUGGUAUACGCUCUAGUCUCAGAAGCUAGUGGGGAAACCCAUACGAGUUCAAGUCUCGUCCAGCGCACCA
rnacentral:tRNA from 1 species